CCCAGUUAUUGAACAUAACAAGUCUCCCAAAUCACUGAACAUCUCCUGAUACCCCUGAGACUGCUCAAUAGGAGCGAAAGGGUGAAGGUUGGUGAAACCGGGCCAUGUUACGGGCAUCAUUUCCGUUGUUGCGUUCAGCUUCAUCGUGCAAGACCCCAAUGGAAUCAUGCUGAGGUACCUCCAGAGGUUGCAAUCGAAGGACCUUUCGCUUUGCCACAGUAUGAUUCCA
rnacentral:misc_RNA from 1 species